rnacentral:rRNA from 1 species
CACGUAGGGGCCAAGCGUUGUCCGGAUUCAUUGGGCGUAAAGAGCUCGUAGGCGGUUCAGUCAGUCGGGUGUGAAAUCUCCGGGCUCAACUCGGAGGGGCCACCCGAUACUGCUGUGACUCGAGUCCGGUAGGGGAGUGGGGAAUUCCUGGUGUGAGCGGUGAAUGCGCAGAUAUCUGGAGGAAUACCGGUGGCGAAGGCGGCAUCCUGGACCGACUGUACGCGUGAGGAGCGAAA